GUACGGGAGGCAGCAGUGGGGAAUAUUGGACAAUGGGCGAAAGCCUGAUCCAGCCAUGCCGCGUGAAGGACGAAGGCGCUCAGCGUUGUAAACUUCUUUUGGAUGGGAACAAUAACCACGACUUGUCGUGACUUGAGGGUACCAUCAGAAUAAGCACCGGCUAACUCCGUGCCAGCAGCCGCGGUAAUACGGAGGGUGCAAGCGUUAUCCGGAAUCACUGGGUUUAAAGGGUGCGUAGGCGGCCCAAUAAGUCAGUCGUGAAAUCGCUGGGCUCAACCCAUGCAAUUGCGAUUGAUACUGUUGGACUUGAAUUAGGUUGAGGCUGGCGGAAUGCGACAUGUAGCGGUGAAAUGCUUAGAUAUGUCGCAGAACACCGAUUGCGAAGGCAGCCAGCUGGGCCUUGAUUGACGCUGAGGCACGAAAGCGUGGGGAGCAAACAGGAUUAGAUACCCCGGUAGUCCC
rnacentral:rRNA from 1 species